rnacentral:rRNA from 1 species
UACAGGGGUGCAAACGUUGCUCGGAAUCAUUGGCGUAAAGCGCACGUAGGCGGUUCGUUAUGUCGGAUGUGAAAGCCCUUGGCUUAACCGAGGAAGUGCAUCGAAACUGGCGAGCUAGAGUACUAAGAGGAUCGCGGAAUUCCGGUGUAGAGGUGAAAUUCGUAGAUAUCAGGAGGAACACCGAUGGCGAAGGCAGAUCUCUGGGCCGUAACUGACGCUGAGGAGCGAAAGCGUGGGAGCGAACAGG